GGCCGCGUACUCAGGUGGAAGAGCGUUCCUCUGAUAAGGAGCCUGCCCUGAGCCUGUCGAAGGGAGAGAUUCACUGGUUCGAGUCCAGUCACGGUCA
rnacentral:tRNA from 1 species